UGCGCAGGCGGAUGAAUGUGUCAGGUGUGAAAUCUCGGGGCUCAACCUCGAAACUGCGCCUGAAACUGUUCAUCUAGAGUAUUGGAGAGGUAAGCGGAAUUUCCGGUGUAGCGGUGAAAUGCGUAGAUAUCGGAAGGAACACCAAUGGCGAAGGCAGCUUACUGGACAAUAACUGACGCUCAGGCGCGAAAGCAUGGGUAGCGAAAG
rnacentral:rRNA from 1 species